rnacentral:lncRNA from 1 species
AGCAUAUUAAAAUUUCAUCAUGUCAGCAUAAAGAGAAUCUAGGUUUUAUGAGGCACCUAACACUAUAUUGAUCAUCCAAAUUGGAUACAGAGUCCAAAAAAGUUAUUAUUGAUUUACAAUUCAGUCCUCAAAAUUUACAAUCAUUUCUUCAAUACAUUGCAAACCAGUCCCUAGCAGUCUUAAUGGGCAGGACCUUAGGCAGCCACGUGGAACUUGGUCUCACAGGCAGGACCACAUGGAGUUGGCCUGUCUGAGCUGAAGUGCAUGAAGUUUAGACCACCCCCGUACUCAAAUGCUUAAAUUGGUAAAGGACAACUUGUACAUUCCAGUGCUUAAAUUGAGAACAAAACAUUGGCAAUACGGAAAGUGUGGUUUCCUUCAUAAAUCUAAGAGUUUCAACUUCAUUCUCAAGAAGACGGUCAGCUUCAAACUAUCAUGGUGGAAACCUGGUAUUCAUUAAGGUUUUGCAUUUAUAAAGAGAGAAAUUUCAACUGAAUUGACCGAUCAGCAAGAAGAAAGAAGUGGUUCAAACUAAUCACUUAAGAAAGAGAACAAAAUUUGAUAAACAAAAUAUACAAAAAAUUGAAACCCAACCUCAUUUCCCUUUUUUGGGUUUCGGGUUUGGUUUUGGAAUGGAGGGACUUUAGUAAAUUUAUAUAAAAGGUGACCAACCCUUGCCCUAAAUCAAAAGCCUCAUCAUCCAGCUCAAAAUCACCAAAGCAUCCAACCAUACCAUCCAAAAGAAUCCUACUUCUUAUCAUUUGAAAAAAUUAACCAAAACUCGAAACCUAAAUUACCAAAUAUCCGAAGUCAAAUCAAUUCAAAACUUCAGGUGUCCAAUAACCUACAUAAGUCUGAUAUCUUCCAGUAGACUUAAAACAAAUAGGACAAGAAUAACAAUUCUAUGUGGCGUCUACACAAGUGAUUAUAAACAAGCAAUUAACUCUAUCGGCAAUUUCAUCACAAAUCUUCUCAACAUUCUUCAUUUUCUUACUACGUGUAAGCAUCCAAACUCAUAUUACAUUCACAGAAACGAAGUAAAUGGCAGGAAUUAUUUGGUCGCAAACUGUAGAUCAUGUUAUGCGGAUAGUGGAAAAUUGGAACCUGGAAACAUAACUUGCUGGUACAAAAGCUUGUGCUAUGCAUUAUGCAUUUCCACGAUCAAAUGCAGUGAUGUUUUUGGGGACUCCAUUAUACAACUCAAUGAGUUCUGGAUACUCCUUGUAGCGGUUGACGAACUUCUCCACAAAUUUCUUCUCUGAAUAUUUCACGUAUGUAGACAUACUAAGGUUACUGAUGCAAACUCCCCUAGACUUCAGGCCUGUCACAAUCUGAUGCCUUGGCAUCAACCUUUUCUCCAAACUGCACAACAAAAUAUCUGGCCGAAGUGCAAUAUGAGAUGGAGCACAUCCGGCUUCAUUUACCAAGAACUCCAACUUCCUCUGCAAACUCUUUAAAGAAAUUUGCACAAACGUAGGAGCCUUUCUGAAUGCAGCAAGGAAAUCAUCCUCGGACCACCCGAAGCCCUCGAAGAACUCCAAGUGAGCCUUGAAGUUAUUCUCGGAGACGUUGUGGAGCACAGUCAGGGUCAAGGGGAACAUCCCUGAGGUGCAAGCUACUCCCAAACCCUCGGCACGACUGAUUAACGCCUUCAGGGUUUCAGCAUUCCGGGUUAUGAGGAGAGGAUAUUGCCUUAGGAUCAUUGAGAGCUUCUGAUCCGUCAUCCCGCAAUCCCUUAGAAUUUCAAUGUUAGGCUGGAUCGUCUUCUCGAUGCUAUACCCGAGAAACCUCCUGUUUUUCUUGCACAAGUUCAUCAGUAAGUCGUUGGACCCGAGGAGGCCUUGCCAUAAUUGGAUCUUGGACAAGAUGGUCUGGGAUUUGUCGCUGAUGACGUCGUUAUUCGAUCUGACGAGGUGGGUGAUGUCGGAGCAGGAGAAGCCCAGAUCCUGCAAAGCUCGGAACUUUGGGGCCAGGGUCUUCUCCACGUCGAGGAGAAGCCACCGGGGGUUUGCAGAUAUGACCUUUUUCACCUGGGUGUUGUCAAAACCGUAGCUUUUAAAAAAGCCAAGGACGGAGUCAGGCUGGUGGCGGGAUUCGACGCGACCAAGGAGCUUCGAGGCUUUGGCCGCCUGAUCAGGAUGGAAGCCACAGUAGCUGACCAGGUAUUCAGCCAUAAGGCUGCUCUCUGGAGCACCGGAGGCGGCGGAAUAAGAAUGGGUUGCGAGAAAAAGGGCAGCAUCGGCCGGACGACAGCAAGGGACGAAUGCAAGGGCUUUGGACAAGAGAGAGACGUAGGGCGACCUAUUCAUCAAUGUCAUCGUCUUCUUCUUCUUCUUCUUCUUCUUUGUAGGUUCCUUCUCUUUACCAAAACCUAGCGAAGGUGGCGUAGCUGCGUAUAGAGGAGCGCGUUUUGGCCGGAAGUACCUGCGUCUUAAACCCUAGAAGUGCGUUACCGUGUUCGACAUUUUUUUUUUCUGGCGGAGAUUACUGCGACCGCAGGAGUCUUUUUUUUCUUUGUCAACUUUUAGUUUGUUGAGGGGAGAAACAACUUUUAUUGCGUGCCAACUAAAGAUAAUAAAAGGUGUUCUUUUAGAAAAAAUUUGCACUAUUAUUUUUUUAUCUAGGGUUUAUUUUUUAUAGUUAGAACAAAAAUAUACCCUUAAUCUUCUAUUAAAAAUGACUUGAUCAGCUAUUAAAAAAUUGAUAUCAAAAAUUUUUAAAAAAAUAUAAAAAGCUAUGCUAAUCAUUUUAAAAUCAAUAGAUAUGCAUCGAAGAUGAUUAAUAUCUAUUUUUAUUUUAAAAAUUUUUAUAAUUAAUUAUCAAAUUAUAAUUUAUUUAAAUAAUAUCUAUGAUUAAGUCACAUAAGUUAAAAUAUAAGAGUGUUUUUUGUCUAAAUAAAAAUACCUAAAUAAAAAUGAAUAUGGAGGGUUUCAUCGAUAAGAAAACUAAUACUAUAAAUUAUUUUUUUAUAAAAGACCCGACAUACAUGAAUGAAUGCUAGAAAACAACUAAUCCAUCAUAAAAUUUGAUGAACUAAUACAUAUGUAUUCUAAUUAUCAAGUUAAAGUCAACAAUAAAAAAUUCAUGUAAUCUUUAAUGCCAUCAUAACCAUCAACUAUUUAUGAUGUGAAUGGCAAAACCGCUCAUUGUUCACUUAAGAAUCUACUCAUUAGAUUUUCACUAGAUAGAGAACAGACAACAACUCGUAAACAUGUCAACUAUCUUACUAGAAACAUACACUAUCUAUGAAACAAUGCCCAAGGCAACUUCUAUCUAGAAAUUAAUAAUAAUUAGAUGAUCAUGUUCACACUCAAAAUAGAAAGUCAUUCAUCCUAUAAUCAUUAACUUAUUAUAUCCAUACCAAGAUUAAGAAAGUAUCCCGAUGAUUAACAUUGAUUUAGAUUCGAUUAUAUUUGAUUUAACAUAUUGACAAAUAUUGUAAUUGGUAUAUAUAUCCUUCGACGGAAUCAAAUAAUUUGGGUAAUAUAUCUCACGGCUAAUUCUCACUCUUUAUUAUUUUUCAAUAUCGAAAAAUUAUUCUGUCAGUUUAAGGGAUAUAUACUUGAUCUAGCUAGCUCUUUAUACAAAGUAACUCAAAAUCUCUUUUCAAUUUAUCAUCUCAAAAUUAUUAGAAUACAUGACUCUUUAUAAUUGAAUAAGAUAUAUAAUAAAAUUAAUUAGAUUUUAAUGACGAAUAUUAGUCAAUAGAAAGAAAUAUCAAAAUAUGUGCCAAGUGAGAGAAUAUCUUAUAAAUUAAUGGGCUAAGUGAGAGAAUAUCAAAUAUGUGACCCUUUAUAAUUGAAUAAGAUAUAUAAUAAAACUAAUUAGAUUAUGAUAAUGGAUAUUAGCCAAUAGAAAGAAAGUUUAUAUUAUAGUAUGAUUCCUUAGGGGGUGCCCUUGAUGGGAGGAACUCUCUUAAUUAUUUAUCAUAGACUCUCUACUCUCGUCUAUAAAUAGAUGGGACCUCAUAGGGACUAAUGACAUGAUGUUUAUAUGAUGUAAUGGUCAUGAACACAUACACGAGAUACAAUAUGUGACAAUGAGAGAUUACGAUUCCUUUCUCAUCCUCUCUUGUCUCUGAACCAUUAAUAACUAUAAUCUUGUGAAAAGGUAGAAAGAGAUGAGGAGUGUUUAGUUCUCCUUGUAGAUCGACAUUUGAUAUAAACGAUUUUGCCCCACACAAACUCAUCUACCACUAAGGCCAACACCUAUGGAGAGUUUCAGGUCAUUAGCUUCGAAAUGGCACCAUAGUGUCGAUAACCAUCCUACUUUAUUAAGAUCAAAGAAUAAUCAGGUGAUUUUGCUAAUCUUAUCCAAGGCCAACCAAUAAAAGGCCUAGGGAUCAAGUAUAAAAAGGAACUCAUUAACUCACGCUGAGAGGGGGGACUCUCUAUACACUAACCUAGUCAUACAGCUUACACUACUAUCUUUCCCCUUUCACUGACUUAAGCAUCGGAAGGAAUGCGUUGGGCAACCCCUAAUGCUGGCCUAUCAUGCAAGAUUGCUGACGGUCAAGUGAUGAUCGGACCCAAUCCUUGUCAAUAGAACCUCGUAAUCUUUAAUGCCAUCAUAACCAUCAACUAUUUAUGAUGUGAAUGGCAAAACUGCUCAUUGUUCACUUAAGAAUCUACUCAAUAGAUUUUCACUAGAUAGAGAACAGACAACGACUCGUAAACAUGUCAACUAUCUUACUAGAAACAUACACUAUCUAUGAAACAAUGCCCAAGGCAACUUCUAUCUAGAAAUUAAUAAUAAUUAGAUGAUCAUGUUCACACUAAAAAUAGAAAGUCAUUCAUCCUAUUAUCAUUAACUUAUUAUAUCCAUACCAAGAUUAAGAAAGUAUCCUGAUGAUUAACUUUGAUUUAGAAUCGAUUAUAUUUGAUUUAACAUAUUGACAAACAUUGUAAUUGGUAUAUAUAUCCUUCGACGGAAUCAAAUAAUUUGGGUAAUAUAUCUCACGGCUAAUUCUCACUCUUUAUUAUUUUUCAAUAUCGAAAAAUUAUUCUGUCAGUUUAAGGGAUAUAUACUUGAUCUAGCUAGCUCUUUAUACAAAGUAACUCAAAAUCUCUUUUCAAUUUAUCAUCUCAAAAUUAUUAGAAUACAUGACUCUUUAUAAUUGAAUAAGAUAUAUAAUAAAAUUAAUUAGAUUUUGAUGAAAACUAUUAGUCAAUAGAAAGGAAUAUCAAAAUACGUGCUAAGUGGGAGAAUAUCUUAUAAAUUAAUGGGCCGCCUCCGGUGCUCCAGAGAGCAGCCUUAUGGUUAAUAAAAACACUAUACGUGCUAAGUGGGAAAUUCCUAUGAUGGCUAAUAAAAACACUAUAAUAAACUAAUUUUACUCUUAUUUGGAUGAUAUUAUUGUUAAAUUAUUUUAAAUAUAUGAUAUAUCAAAUGGUUUGUAGUAUGUUUGGAUUUCUCAGUUAUAGUAUUUUUUAAAUAACAUUAUAGUGUUUUUAUAAGGUGUAAAGCAAUUGAAAAAUCUUUGAUUAUCGUUGAUCGUAAAUGUGUAGUUAGUUUGACUGAAUCUAUUCGGGUUAUUUAUAAUAUUUUUAUUAUGAUAAUCAAAAUACUAUAAAAAUUAAUUUUUGAUUCUCAUUUUGAUGACCAAACUAUUGUGUAAAUCAUAUAAAUCAGAUCAUGCUACUGUACAAACCAAUCCAUCAACUUGGAUUCAAACACCGAUAUAUCGGUCUAUAAGGUAUCUAUGAAACUAGUGGGAAAAAUAUCAUUGAGGCUGGUAAGAAAUACUUUCAGUAUUAUUCAAAAUAGAAGGUAUCAUUUGAGAAAUAUGAGACAUCUUUUAGGAAAAUAAUAAUAAAAAAAGUGAGACAUCUUCGAAAUCACCCGAAAACUUUUGCUCACUUGUUUACUAGGGUCUUCUAGACUUUGCAGCAUCAAGAGAGUUCCUCUCCUCCGAACUCCUGUUUACCUAACAUCUCUACGAUGAUCAACAUGCGUUAGGGUGCAAGUCAACUAAAACUUCCCUUGAUCCCGAUAACUCAACAAGAGUAAGCAGUGCUUCAGUUUAAUUUGACCAAGUACGUGCCUGCCAGAGACACUGCAGUUAAUUCUACAAGGCCAAUAAUGUAUGAAUACAUAAGAAAAAGCUCAACGCAAAAGAUUGGAAGAUUAUUUUGAUGUAUUUGUACAGAGAAAACAAUACAACAAAGUCUUUAGAAAAGGAACACACCAAAAGAUUAAAAAUAGGACGAAUGGCUGAGACUAGCAUGCUAUACUAUAUAAGAAUCUGGAGAACCAAGGGUGGAAUCAAAUUCGAGAUUACAUGUUGCUAUUAGGCAAUAAAUUUAGAGAUGCUCUAUUGUCACAUUGAAGCACAAGUUUGUAACAUAAAAAACAACCUGCAUAAUUUGACAUAUUAACUAGACUUCCAGAUCAACUUUUUGUUUGAUAGCUAUUACAGCUUUGACAAAAAUAAGACACCGAACAAAGGAUGCAAAAGAAACAUAUAGUAGCAAAAGCCAAAAAAGUUGAAAUGUGGAUUUUCAUAGUACAUAAACCAGUAUAACUACAUAUCAUAAAUAUAACCAAAGAUUCUAACUGUUAGAAAUAUCUUGACUUCAGUCUGAGUGUGGGUAAAAAACAUUUCAAGAAGGCUGAAAUUGGUGUCAUCUGACAGCGGACAAAAUACAUUUUGGGAAGGGAGAAAUUGGCCUACAAGAAGUCAGCAAGUCUCAUUUCUCUUUCAUUACCUGAAGGCCGGCAAUGGUUGAAUUCUCCCUAGCAAAGUAACUCCUAGAAUUAUAUUUCCUUUUCCAAUUUGUUCAACAUAUACUUACUAAUGUAAUCAAACUAGCACACUGCAGAUGCCAACCUCUGGAAGGUAACACAUACUAAAAGAGCAAUUUCCAAGAACCUUGUUAAUCCACUUCUUUUGCACCAAACACUCCGCAAAUGGAGCUAACACCCCAAGUAUUUUUUAUUGAUAAGAACAAUUUAUGAUCGAUACAAGACAACCUCUGGACAGUAACACCUACUAAAAUAUCAAUUUCCAAGAUCACUGCUAAUCCACUUCUUUUGCACCAAACACCCUGUAAAUGGAGCUAACAAUCAAGCACUUUUGAUUGAUAAGAACAUUUUAUGCACCGAACACUCAAUAUGACCCAACCAAAAAAAUGAGAGGAUCGCACCCUCCGUAAACUUAUGAUCCAGACAUCUGUAACGCACAGAGCACAAUAAUAAUAUUCAUUGACAAUAAUGGAAAAUGCAUCCCAUCAAGUCUCAUCAUUAUUACUGGCGUACACAUCUAACUGUGCUUUUAUUAAAUAUCAGAUAACAAUCUUCACAUUGCUAGAACUGAAAAAUUCUCAAUCCUUAGCUACCCAGCUACGGAUCAUCUGAAAUAUGUACUUUUCAGAUCGAUAGGGAUUAUCUUAGUAGAAACAAGACGUCAAGAAAUCUAGUUGUGUCCCACGCAAUCAGCUAAAGAUAAGAAUAAUAAUGAAAAAAGAGCAUAAAUUAGGAUAAAAGAUCUCACAAAUUCAUCAUGAGAAAAGCACAUCCAUCAGUGCACUUUGCUGCAUCGGAACUCGUCCGAGGGAUGAAGCUACCUCCUUAUAGACUAAAUUCAUAUCACAUUACCUGCUAUUAGUCCAUUACUAGGAUCAAGUGGUGCCCGGCAACAGUCGAAAUACGCAUUUCUAUAGAUGCAAGGAAUAUCUUAUAAGCUUGUUUGACGACUACUAAUCCCUUUCAAAAUUGCCUACGAAUAAUGACAAUGUUGUUCAAUCAUCCAUAUAUGUAUAUAUCAACAUGCUGCACAACCAUGCAACAACAACCUUUCACAUACUCAAGCAUCCAACUUAUGCAUCAUGGCACUUCUAACAAAUAUUAAUAUGCGUCAAUUAUAGGCUAAAAUAGACGCAUCAAUAUAAAAUUUAUUGCCAAAAGAAAUAUGAACUAAUAACAGCAUAUUAAAAUUUCAUCACAUCAGCAUACAGAGAAUCUAGGUUUUAUGAGGCACCUAACACUAUAUUGCUCAUCCAAAUUGGAUACAGAGUUCAAAAAAGUUAUUAUCGAUUUACAAUUCAGUCCUUGAAAUUUACAAUCAUUUCUUCAUUACAUUGCAAACCAGUCCCUAGCAGUCUUAAUGGGCAGGCCCUUAGGCAGCCACGUGGAACUUGGUCUCAAAGGCAGGACCACAUGGAGUUGGCCUGUCUGAGCUGAAGUGCAUGAAGUUUAGACCACCCCCGUACUAAAAUGCUUAAAUUGGUAAAGGACAACUUGUACAUUCCAGUGCUUAAAUUGAGAACAAAACAUUGUCAAUACGGAAAGUGUGGUUUCCUUCAUAAAUCUAAGAGUUACAACUUCAUUCUCAAGAAGACAGUCAGCUUCAAACUAUCAUGGUGGCAACCUGGUAUUCAUUAAGGUUUUGCACUUAUAAAGAGAGAAAUUUCAACUGAAUUGACCGAUCAGCAAGAGGAAAGAAGUGGUUCAAACUAAUCACUUAAGAAAGAGAACAAAGUUUGAUAAACAAAAUAUACAAAAAAUUGAAACGCAACCUCAUCUACCUUUUUUGGGUUUUCGGUUUGGUUUAGGAUAUGAGGGACUUUAGUAAAUUUAUAUAAAAGGUGACCAACCCUUGCCCUAAAUCAAAAGCCUCAUCAUCCAGCUCAAAAUCACCAAAGCAUCCUACCAUACCAUCCAAAAGAAUCCUACUUCUUAUCAUUUGAAAAAAUAACCAAAACUCGAAACCUAACUUAGCAAAUAUCCAUAGUUAAAUCAAUCAAAACUUCACGUGUCCAAUAACCUACAUAAGUCUGAUAUCUUCCAGUAGACUUAAAACGAAUGGGACAAGAAUAACAAUUCCAUGUGGCGUCUACACAAGUGAUUAUCAACAAGCAAUUAACUCUAUCGGCAAUAUCAUCACAAAUCUUCUCAACAUUCUUCAUUUUCUUACUACGUGUAAGCAUCCAAACUCAUCUUACAUUCACAGAAAACGAAGUAAAUGGCAGGAAUUAUUUGGUCGCAAACUGUAGAUCAUGUUAUGCGGAUAGUGGAAAAUUGGAACCUGGAAACAUAACUUGCUGGUACAAAAGUUUGUGCUAUGCAUUAUGCAUUUCCACGAUCAAAUGCAGUUCUGUUUUUGGGGACUCCAUUAUACAACUCAAUGAGUUCUGGAUACUCCUUGUAGCGGUUGACGAACUUCUCCACAAAUUUCUUCUCUGGAUAUUUCGCGUAUGUAGACAUACUAAGGUUACUGAUGCAAACUCCCCUAGACUUCAGGCCUGUCACAAUCUGAUGCCUUGGCAUCAACCUUUUCUCCAAACUGCACAACAAAAUAUCUGGCCGAAGAGCAAGAUGAGAUGGAGCACAUCCGGCUUCAUUUACCAAGAACUCCAUCUUCCUCUGCAAACUCUUUAAAGAUAAUCCCACAAGCGUAGGAACCUUUCUGAAUGCAGCAAGGAAAUCAUCCUCGGACCACCCGAAGCCCUUGAAGAACUCCAAGUGAGCCUUGAAGUUCUUCUCGGUGAUUCUCUGGAGCACACACAGGGUAAGGGGGAAGAUCCCUGAGGUGCGAGGUACUCCCAAACCCUCGACACGACUGAUUAACGCCUUCAGGGUUUCAGCAUUCCGGGUUAUAAGGAGGGGGCGGUGCCGUAUGAUCAUUGAGAGCUUCUGAUCCGUGAUCCCGCAAUCCCUUAGAAUUUCAAUGUUAGGCUGGAUCGUCUUCUCGAUGCUAUACCCGAGAAACCUCCUGUUUUUCUUGCACAAGUUUACCAAAAAGUCGUUGGACUCGAGGAGGUCUUGCCAUAAUUGGAUCUUGGACAAGAUGUUCUCGGAUUUGUCGCUGGUGACGUCGUUAUUCGAUCUGACGAGGUGGGUGAUGUCGGAGCAGGAGAAGCCCAGAUCCUGCAAAGCUCGGAACUUUGGAGCCAGGGUCUUCUCCACGUCGAGGAGAAGCCACCGGGGGUUUGCAGAUAUGACCUUUUUCACCUGGGUGUUGUCAAAACCGUAGCUUUUAAAUAAGCCAAGGACGGAGUCAGGCUGGUGGCGGGAUUCGACGCCGCCAAGGAGCUUCGAGGCUUUGGCCGCCUGAUCUGGAUCGAAGCCACAGGAGCUGACCAGGUAUUCAGCCAUAAGGCUGCUCUGUGGAGCACCGGAGGUGGCGGAGUAAGAAUGGGUUGCGAGAAAAAGGGCAGCAUCGGCCGGACGACAGCAAGGGACGAAGGCAAGGGCUUUGGACAAGAGAGAGACGUAGGGCGACCUAUUCAUCAAUGUCAUCGUCUUCUUCUUCUUCUUCGUAGGUUCCUUCUCUUUACCAAAACCUAGCGAAGGUGGCGUAGUUGCGUAUAGAGGAGCGCGAUUAGGCCGGAAGUACCUGCGUCUUAAACCCUAGAAGUGCGUUACCGUGUUCGACAUUUUUCUGGUUGGCUAGUUAUUCCCUAGUCAUUUUACUGGUUAGCCUUGGAUAAGAUUAGUUAAAUCACUUGAUCAUUUUUUGAUCUUAAUAAGGUAGGGUGGUUAUCAGAAUACACUAUGGUGCCAUUUCGGAGCUGGUGAUCUGGAACUCUCCAUAGGUGUCGGCCUUGUGACAGAUGAGUUGGCGUAGGGCAAAAUCGUCUCUAUCAAAUGUCGAUAUACAAGGAGAACCAAACAUUCAUCUCUUUCUACCUUUUCACAAGACUAUAGUUAUUAAUGUUUCAGAGACAAGAGAGGAUGAAAAAAGAAUCGUAAUCUCUCAAUGUCACAUAUAGUAUCUCGUGUAUGUGUCCACGUGUAUGUGUCCAUGACCGUCACAUCAUAUAAACAUCAUGUCAUUAGCCCCUAGGAGGUCCGAUAUAUUUAUAGGUGAGAGUUGAGGAUCAAUGAUAAGUAAUUAGGAGAGUUUCUCCUAUCAAGAGCGUCCCUUAAGAAAUCAUACUAUAAUCUGAAUAUCCUUUAUACUGGCUAAUAUCCGUUAUCAGAAUUCAAUCAAUUUUAUUAUAUAUCUUAUUCAAUUAUAAAGGGUCACAUAUUUUGAUAUUCUCCUACUUAGCUCAUAUAUUCUCUAUCUUUGCCCAUAGUUUGAUAUUCCUUUUUAUAGAUUAAUAUUCGUAAUCAAAAUCUAAUUAAUUUUAUUAUAUAUCUUAUUCAAUUAUAAAGAGUCCUGUAUUCUAACAAUUUUGAUAUGACAAAUUGAAAAGAUGUUUUGAGUUACUUUGCAUAAAGAGCUAGCUAGAUCAAGUAUAAAUCCCUUAAUAUGAGAGAAUAAUUCUCCAAUACUGAAAAAUAAUAAAGAGUGAGAAGAAACCUUUAUAAAGGUGAGAUAUAUUACUCAAACUAUUUAAUUCCGUAAAAGGAUAUUUAUACUAAUUAUAAUGCUUGUCAAUAUGUUAAUCAAAUAUAAUCAAUUCUAAAUCAGGAUGCACCUUCUUAAUCUUAGUAUGGAUAUAAUAAGUUAAUAAUUGUGAGAUGAAUGACUUUCUAUUUUUAUGGUGAACAUGAUCAUCUAAUUACUAUUAAUUUCUAGAUAGAAGUUGCUUGAGGCUUUGUUUCAUAGAUAGCAUAUGUUUGUAGCAAUUCUAAGUAGCAAGAUAGUUGACGUGUUUGCGAGUCUCUAUCAGUUCCCUAUUUGAUAAAAAUCUAUUGAGUAGAUUCUCAAGUGAACAAUGAGCAAUUUUGCCAUUCAUAUCAUAAAUAGUUGAUGCUUAUGAUGAUAUUUAAGAUUACAUGAACAUUUUAUUGUUGACUUAAACUUGAUAAUUAGAGUAGCAUAGGUAUUAAUCCAUCAAAUUUUAUGAUGAAUAAGUUGAUUUCUAGCAGUAAUUCAUGCAUGUUGGGUCUUUUAUAAAAGAAAAAAUUCUAGUAUUAUUUUUUUUUAUUGAUGAAACCUUCCAUAUUCAUUUUUACUUAGGUUUUUUUUAUUUAGACAAAAAACACUCUUAUAUUUUUUGCUUAUGUGACUUAAUCAUAGAUAUUAUUUAAAUAAAUUAUAAUUUGAUAAUUAAUUAUAAAAAAAACUAAAAUAAAAAAUAGAUAUUAAUCAUCUUCGAUGCAUAUCUAUUGAUUUUAAAAUGAUUAGCAUAGUUCUUUUUUUUUUUUUUUUUAAUUAUGAUAAUUAAUUAUCAAUUUUUUAAUAGCUGAUCAAGUCAUUUUUAAUAGAAGAUUAAGGGUAUAUUUUUGUUCAUACUAUAAAAAAUAAACCCUAGAUAAAAAUAAAUAUAGGGAUGCUAUCCGAUAAAAAAAUAAUAGUGCAAUUUUUUUCUAAGAGAACACCUUUUAUUAUCUUUAGUUGGCACGCAAUAAAAGUUUUUUCUCCCCUCAACAAACUAAAAGUUGACGAAGCAAAAAAAAAGACGCCUGCGGUCGCAGUAAUCUCCGCCCGAAAAAAAAUUCUCGAACACGGUAACGCACUUAUAGGGUUUAAGACGCAGGUACUUCCGGCCUAAACGCGCUCUUCUAUACGCAGCUACGCCACCUUCGCUAGGUUUUGGGAAAGCGAAGGAACCUACAAAGAAGAAGAAGAAGACGAUGACAUUGAUGAAUAGGUCGCCCUACGUCUCUCUCUUGUCCAAAGCCCAUGCCUUCGUCCCUUGCUGUCGUCCGGCCGAUGCUGCCCAUUUUCUCGCAACCCAUUCUUACUCCGCCGCCUCCGGUGCUCCACAGAGCAGCCUUAUGGCUGAAUACCUGGUCAGCUCCUGUGGCUUCGAUCCUGAUCAGGCGGCCAAAGCCUCGAAGCUCCUUGGCCACGUCGAAUCCCGCCACCAGCCUGACUCCGUCCUUGGCUUAUUUAAAAGCUACGGUUUUGACAACACCCAGGUGAAAAAGGUCAUAUCUACAAACCCCCGGUGGCUUCUCCUCGACGUGGAGAAGACCCUGGCCCCAAAGUUCCGAGCUUUGCAGGAUCUGGGCUUCUCCUGCUCCGACAUCACCCACCUCGUCAGAUCGAAUAACCACGUCAUCAGCCACAAAUCCCAGAACAUCUUGUCCAAGAUCCAAUUAUGGCAAGGCCUCCUGGGGUCCAACGACUUACUGAUGAAGAUAUGGAAGAGAAACAGGUGGUUUCUCGGGUAUAGCUUCGAGAAGACGAUCCAGCCUAGCAUUGAAAUUCUAAGGGAUUGCGGGAUCACGGAUCAGAAGCUCUCAAUGAUCAUACCGCAAUAUCCCCUCCUUAUAACCCGGAAUGCUGAAACCCUGAAGGCGUUAAUCAGUCGUGUCGAGGGUUUGGGAGUACCUCGCACCUCGAGGAUGUUCCUCCUGAUCCUGAGUGUGCUCCUGAGCGUCUCCGAGAAGAACUUCAAGGCUCACUUGGAGUUCUUCAAGGGCUUCGGGUGGUCCGAGGAUGAUUUCCUUGCUGCAUUCAGAAAGGCUCCUACGUUUGUGCAAUUAUCUUUAAAGAGUUUGCAGAGGAAGAUGGAGUUCUUGGUAAAUGAAGCAGGAUGUGCUCCAUCUCAUCUUGCACUUCGGCCAGAUAUUUUGUUGUGCAGUUUGGAGAAAAGGUUGAUGCCAAGGCAUCAGAUUGUGACAGGCCUGAAGUCUAGGGGAGUUUGCAUCAGUAACCUUAAUAUGUCUACAUACAUGAAAUAUCCAAAGAAGAAAUUUGNNNNNNNNNNNNNNNNNNNNNNNNNNNNNNNNNNNNNNNNNNNNNNNNNNNNNNNNNNNNNNNNNNNNNNNNNNNNNNNNNNNNNNNNNNNNNNNNNNNNNNNNNNNNNNNNNNNNNNNNNNNNNNNNNNNNNNNNNNNNNNNNNNNNNNNNNNNNNNNNNNNNNNNNNNNNNNNUGGAGUUCUUGGUAAAUGAAGCAGGAUGUGCUCCAUCUCAUCUUGCACUUCGGCCAGAUAUUUUGUUGUGCAGUUUGGAGAAAAGGUUGAUGCCAAGGCAUCAGAUUGUGACAGGCCUGAAGUCUAGGGGAGUUUGCAUCAGUAACCUUAAUAUGUCUACAUACAUGAAAUAUCCAAAGAAGAAAUUUGUGGAGAAGUUCGUCAACUGCUACAAGGAGUAUCCAGAACUCGUUGAGUUGUAUAAUGGAGUCCCCAAAAACAGAACUGCAUUUGAUCGUGGAAAUGCAUAAUGCAUAGCACAAGCUUUUGUACCAGCAAGUUAUGUUUCCAGGUUCCAAUUUUCCACUAUCCGCAUAACAUGAACUACAGUUUGCAACCAAAUAAUUCCUGCCAUUUACUUCGUUUUCUGUGAAUGUAAGAUGAGUUUGGAUGCUUACAUGUAGUAAGAAAAUGAAGAAUGUUGAGAAGAUUUGUGAUGAUAUUGCUGAUAGAGUUAAUUGCUUGUUGAUAAUCACUUGUGUAGACGCCACAUGGAAUUGUUAUUCUUGUCCCAUUCGUUUUAAGUCUACUGGAAGAUAUCAGACUUAUGUAGGUUAUUGGACACGUGAAGUUUUGAAUUGAUUUAACUAUGGAUAUUUGGUAAUUUAGGUUUCGAGUUUUGGUUAUUUUUUCAAAUGAUAAGAAGUAGGAUUCUUUUGGAUGGUAUGGUAGGAUGCUUUGGUGAUUUUGAGCUGGAUGAUGAGGCUUUUGAUUUAGGGCAAGGGUUGGUCACCUUUUAUAUAAAUUUACUAAAGUCCCUCCUAUCCAAAACCAAACCCAAAACCCAAAAAAGGGAGAUGAGGUUGCGUUUCAAUUUUUUGUAUAUUUUGUUUAUCAAACUUUGUUCUCUUUCUUAAGUGAUUAGUGUGAACCACUUCUUUCCUCUUGCUGAUCGGUCAAUUCAGUUGAAAUUUCUCUCUUUAUAAAUGCAAAACCUUAAUGAAUACCAGGUUGCCACCAUGAUAGUUUGAAGCUGACUGUCUUCUUGAGAAUGAAGUUGUAACUCUUAAAUUUAUGAAGGAAACCACACUUUCCGUAUUGACAAUGUUUUGUUCACAAUUUAAGCACUGGAAUAUACAAGUUGUCCUUUACCAAUUUAAGCAUUUGAGUACGGGGGUGGUCUAAACUUCAUGCACUUCAGCUCAGACUGGCCAACUCCAUGUGGUCCUGCCUCUGAGACCAAGUUCCACGUGGCUGCCUAAGGUCCUGCCCAUUAAGACUGCUAGGGACUGGUUUGCAAUGUAAUGAAGAAAUGAUUGUAAAUUUCAAGGACUGAAUUGUAAAUCGAUAAUAACUUUUUUGAACUCUGUAUCCAAUUUGGAUGAGCAAUAUAGUGUUAGGUGCCUCAUAAAACCUAGACUCUCUUUAUGCUGACAUGAUGAAAUUUUAAUAUGCUGUUAUUAGUUCAUAUUUCUUUUGGCAAUCAAUUUUAUAUUGAUGCGUCUAUUAUAGCCUAUAAUUGACGCAUAUUAAUAUUUGUUAGAAGUUCCAUGAUGCAUAAGCUGGACGCUUGAGCAUGUGAAAGGAUGUUGUUGCAUGGUUGUGCAGCAUGUUGAUAUACACAUAUAUGGAUGAUUGAACAACAUUGUCAUUAUUUGUAGGCAAUUUUGAAAGGGAUUAUCAGUUGUCAAAAAAGCUUAUAAGAUAUUCCUUGCAACUAUAGAAAGACAUAUUUCUACUGUUUCCCGGCACCACUUGAUCCUAGUAAUGGACUAAUAGCAGGGAAUGUGAUAUGAAUUUAGUCUAUAAGGAGGUUGCUUCAUCCUGAGCAGUCGGACGAGUUCCGAUGCAGCAAAGUGCAUUGAUGGAUGUGCUUUUCUCAUGAUGAAUUUGUGAGAUCUUUUAUUCUAAUUUAUUCUAUUUUUCAUUAUUAUUCUUAUCUUUAGUUGAUUGCAUGAGACACAACUAUAUUUCUUGACGUCUUGUUUCUACUAAGAUAAUCCCUAUCGAUCUGAAAAUUACAUAUUUCAGAUGAUCCAUAGCUGGGGAGCUAAGGAUUGAGAAGUGUUCGGUUCUAGCAAUGUGAAGAUUGUUAUCUGAUAUUUAAUAAAAGUACAGUUAGAUGUGUACGCCAGUAAUAAUGAUGAGACUUGAUGGGAUCCAUUUUCCAUUAUUGUCAAUGAAUAUUAUUAUUGUGCUCUGUGCAUUACAGAUGUCUGGAUCAUGAGUUUACGGAGGGUGUGAUCCUCUCAUUUUUUGGGUUGGGUCAUAUUGAGUGUUCGGUGCAUAAAAUGUUCUUAUCAAUCAAAAGUACUUGAUUGUUAGCUCCAUUUACAGGGUGUUUGGUGCAAAAGAAGUGGAUUAGCAGUGAUCUCGGAAAUUGCUAUUUUAGUAGGUGUUACUGUCCAGAGGUUGUGUUGUAUCGAUCAUAAAUUGUUCUUAUCAAUAAAAAAUACUUGGGGUGUUAGCUCCAUUUGCGGAGUGUUUGGUGCAAAAGAAGUGGAUUAACAAGGUUCUUGAAAAUUGAUCUUUUAGUAUGUGUUACCUUCCAGAGGUUGGCAUCUGCAGUGUGCUAGUUUGAUUACAUUAGUAAGGAUAUGUUGAACAAAUUGGAAAAGGAAAUAUAAUUCUAGGAGUUACUUUGCUAGGGAGAAUUCAACCAUUGCCUGCCUUCAGGUAAUGAAAGAGAAAUGAGACUUGCUGACUUCUUGUAGGCCAAUUUCUCCCUUCCCAAAAUGUAUUCUGUCCGCUGUCAGAUGACACCAAUUUCAGCCUUCCUGAAAUGUGUUUUACCCACAGUCAGACUGAAGUCAAGAUAUUUCUAACAGUUAGAAUCUUUGGUUAUAUUUAUGAUAUGUAGUUAUACUGGUUUAUGUACUAUGAAAAUCCACAUUUCAACUUUUUUGGCUUUUGCUACUAUAUGUUUCUUUUGCAUCCUUUGUUUGGUGUCUUAUUUUUGUCAAAGCUGUAAUAGCUAUCAAACAAAAAGUUGAUCUGGAAGUCUAGUUAAUAUGUCAAAUUAUGCAGGUUGUUUUUAUGUUACAAACUUGUGCUUCAAUGUGACAAUAGAGCAUCUCUAAAUUUAUUGCCUAAUGGCAACAUGUAAUCUCAAAUUUGAUUCCAGCCCUUGGUUCUCCAGAUUCAUAUAUGCUAUUCUGUUGUAGUAUAGCAUGAUAGUCUCAGCCAUUCGUCCGAUUUUUAAUAUUUUGGUGUGUUCCUUUUCUUAAGACUGUUGUUUUGUUGUCUCUGGACAAAUACGUCAAUAUAACUUCCCUGAGGUAUUGUAGCAUGCUAAUCUCCAGUAAAUGUUGUAUGUGUCCUAGUUCCAAUCUUUUGCAUUGUGCUUUUUCUUAGGUAUUCAUACAUUAUUGGCCUUUUAGAAUUAACAGCAGUGUAUCUGGCAGGUAGGUACUUGGUUAAAUUAAACUGAAGCACUGCUUACUCUUGUUGAGUUAUCAGGAUCAAGAGAAGUUUUAGAUGACUUGCACCCUAUGGCAUGUUGAUCAUCGUAGAGAUGUUUUCCUGACAAAGGCUUGACUCGUUAUCAGCGAAGAAUUAUACAUGUACUGUACUGCCUCAGAACUAGCUGCUGGAUAGGGUCAGUGAGAGAAUAUCAAAUAUGUGACCCUUUAUAAUUAAAUAAAAUAUAUAAUAAAAUUGAUUAGAUUCUGAUAACGGAUAUUAGUUAAUAAAAAAAAAGUUUAUAUUAUAAUAGGAUUUCUUAGGGUGUAUCCUUGAUGGGAGGAACUCUCCUAAUUAUUUAUCAUAGACUUUCUACUCUCGUCUAUAAAUGGAUAGGACCUCAUAGAGACUAAUGACAUGAUAUUUAUGUGAUGUAACGGUCAUGAACACAUACACGAGAUACGAUAGGUGACAUUAAGAGGUUACGAUUCCGAGAUACGAUAGGUGACAUUAAGAGGUUACGAUUCCUUUCUAAUUCUCUCUUGUCUCUGAACCAUUAAUAACUAUAGUCUUGUGAAAAGGUAGAAAGAGAUGAAGAGUGUUUAGUUCUCCUUGUAGAUCAGUUUUGCUGACAAACAAAUUCCUUGAUUUGUGCGCUGUAGUAGUAGGGUCAUUUAGACUUUGCAGCAUCAGAGAGUUCUCUUCCCAACUCCUGUUUACUUAACAAUGAGCAUGAAUAUACGCCUAUGACAAAAAAUUCCAUUUGGUGCCUUCAAAAUAUUGCUGCAGAAACUAAAUCCGGUGAAGAAAUGAAUGCCAUUUGCCCUUCACUUGCAUCUCAUAGGAGCAAAAGAAGGGGAAAAUAAUCUGGGCAUAAAAUCUAGUUAGCUAGAAUUUGGAUGCUUUCAUCUCAAGAAAUCUCUCUUUUUAUCUUUUCUUAAAGAUCAGUAGAUUCAAUGUACAGGGCAUUGCAGUUUUCUUCCUGUUUCUUCCUUUCUUUCUUUUCUUUUGGAAAAACAAAAGGAUGAUGAGAAUAUGCACAUUUUGGUUAUAUAAUAUCAACAAUGAUGAGAAUAAGAACAAUGAUAUGAAAGCAGACAGGACCAAUAAAUAAGUUUUCAGAAAUAACAACUGAUAAGUCGUCAAAUGAACACCUGUGCUGUGUACAUCAGUCUUCAGAGUUUAAAUUCCACAUCAUACUUCACUUGAUCAACAUCAAUAUGGUGGAAACAAAUUUAAAAGAAAGUUCAGUUUGAUAUGAUGUAAAACAAGAUAUCUCAUUAUUGGUUUGAUCUAAUUACAAAAAGUUAUGCUCAUAUCUAUAUCAUUUCUUAGUCUAGAGUAUAUUUGAACACACAACAAUAACAAUAAUUGCAAGCCAUAAUGAGCAGAUUCAACAUCUCACCUAUCAGAAAUCUUAAAUCGGGAAGCAGGGAUGAUACCGCAUUACCAACAAAACCUGAUAAUAACGAGAAAAAUAAAUUGAUCUUGUUUAGCGAACAAUUUUAGAGGGCAUAAAAACCUAGAACAUAUAUAGUUCUACAAGUUGAAAGGAUCUCAGUCCUUUUAGAGACAAAAUCCCCCACAAAAAGUAUCAACCCUUGCAAAGAGCAUCAGUCUUUUCCUACUGAAAGAACCUGACCCUAUCCAGCAGCUAGUUCUGAGGCAGUACAGUACAUGUAUAAUUCUUCACUGAUAACGGGUCAAGCCUUUGUCAGGAAAACAUCUCUACGAUGAUCAACAUGCGAUAGGGUGCAAGUCAUCUAAAACAUCUCUCGAUCCUGAUAACUCAACAAGAGUAAGCAGUGCUUCAGUUUAAUUUAACCAAGUACCUACCUGCCAGAUACACUGCUGUUAAUUCUCAAAGGCCAAUAAUGUAUGAAUACCUAAGAAAAAGCACAAUGCAAAAGAUUGGAACUAGGACACAUACAACAUUUACUGGAGAUUAGCAUUCUACAAUACCUCAGGGAAGAUUAUUUUAACGUAUUUGUCCAGAGACAACAAUACAAUAAAGUCUUAAGAAAAGGAACACACCAAAAGAUUAAAAAUUGGACGAAUGGCUGAGACUAGCAUGCUAUACUACAACAGAAUAGCAUAUAUAAGAAUCUGGAGAACCAAGGGCUGGAAUCAAAUUCGAGAUUACAUGUUGCCAUUAGGCAAUAAAUUUAGAGAUGCUCUAUUGUCACAUUGAAGCACAAGUCUCAUUUCUCUUUCAUUACCUGAAGGCAGGCAAUGGUUGAAUUCACCCUAGCAAAGUAACUCCUAGAAUUAUAUUUCCUUUUCCAAUUUGUUCAACAUAUCCUUACUAAUGUAAUCAAACUAGCACACUGCAGAUGGCAACCUCUGGAUGUUAACACAUACUAAAAGAGCAAUUUCCAAGAACCUUGUUAAUCCACUUCUUUUGCACCAAACACUCCGCAAAAGGAGCUAACACCCCAAGUAUUUUUUAUUGAUAAGAACAAUUUAUGAUCGAUACAACACAACCUCUGGACAGUAACACCUACUAAAAUAGCAAUUUCCGAGAUCACUGCGAAUCCACUUCUUUUGCACCAAACACCCUGCAAAUGGAGCUAGCAAUCAAGUACUUUUGAUUGAUAAGAACAUUUUAUGCACCGAACACUCAAUACGACCCAAUCCAUAAAAUGAGAGGAUCACACCCUCCAUAAACUUAUAAGCCAGACAUCUGUAACGCACAGAGCACAAUAAUAAUAUUCAUUGACAAUAACUGAAAAUACAUCCCAUCAAGUGUCAUCAUUAUUACUGGAGUAAACAUCUAACUAUACUUUUAUUAAAUAUCAUAUAACAAUCUUCACCUUGCUAGAACCGAACACUUCUCAAUCCUUAGUUCCCCAGCUACGGAUCAUCUGAAAUAUGUAAUUUUCAGAUCGAUAGGGAUUAUCUUAGUAGAAACAAGAUAUCAAGAAAUCUAGUUGUGUCUCAUGCAAUCAGCAAAAGAUAAGAAUAAUAAUAAAAAAAGAGCAUAACUUAGAAUAAAAGAUCUCACAAAUUCAUCAUGAGAAAAGCACAUCCAUUAGUGCACUUUGUUGCAUUGGAACUCGUCCGACUGCUCAGGAUGAAGCAACCUCCUUAUAGACUAAAUUCAUAUCACAUUCCCUGCUAUUAGUCCAUUACUAGGAUCAAGUGGUGCCCGGCAACAGUAGAAAUACGUCUUUCUAUAGAUGCAAGGAAUAUCUUAUAAGCUUGUUUGACGAAUACUAAUCCCUUUCAAAAUUGCCUACUAAUAAUGACAAUGUUGUUCAAUCAUCCAUAUAUGUAUAUAUCAACAUGCUGCACAACCAUGCAACAACAUCCUUUCACAUGCUCAAGCAUCCAACUUAUGCAUCAUGGCACUUCUAACAAAUAUUAAUAUGCGUCAAUUAUAGGCUACAAUAGACGCAUCAAUAUAAAAUUGAUUGCCAAAAGAAAUAUGAACUAAUAACAGCAUAUUAAAAUUUCAUCAUGUCAGCAUAAAGAGAAUCUAGGUUUUAUGAGGCACCUAACACUAUAUUGAUCAUCCAAAUUGGAUACAGAGUCCAAAAAAGUUAUUAUCGAUUUACAAUUCAGUCCUUGAAAUUUACAAUCAUUUCUUCAUUACAUUGCAAACCAGUCCCUAGCAGUCUUAAUGGGCAGGACCUUAUGCAGCCACGUGGAACUUGGUCGCUCAGGCCGGACCACAUGGAGUUGGCCAGUCUGAGCUGAAGUGCAUGAAGUUUAGACCACCCCCGUAUUCAAAUGCUUAAAUUGGUAAAGGACAACUUGUAUAUUCCAGUGCUUAAAUUGAGAACAAAACAUUGUCAAUACGGAAAGUGUGGUUUCCUUCAUAAAUUUAAGAGUUACAACUUCAUUCUCAAGAAGACAGUCAGCUUCAAACUAUCAUGGUGGCAACCAGGUAUUCAUUAAGGUUUUGCAUUUAUAAAGAGAGAAAUUUCAACUGAAUUGACCGAUCAGCAAGAGGAAAGAAGUGGUUCAAACUAAUCACUUAAGAAAGAGAACAAAAUUUGAUAAACAAAAUAUACAAAAAAUUGAAACCCAACCUCAUUUCCCUUUUUUGGGUUUUGGGUUUGGAUUUGGAUAGGAGAGGCUUUAAUAAAUUUAUAUAAAAGAUGACCAACCCUUGCCCUAAAUCAAAAGCCUCAUCAUCCAGCUCAAAAUCACCAAAGCAUCCUACCGUACCAUCCAAAAGAAUCCUACUUCUUAUCAUUUGAAAAAUUAACCAAAACUCGAAACCAAAAUUACCAAAUAUCCAUAGUCAAAUCAAUUCAAAACUUCAGGUGUCCAAUAACCUACAUAAGUCUGAUAUCUUCUAGUAGACUUAAAACGAAUGGGACAAGAAUAACAAUUCCAUGCGGCAUCUACACAAGAGAUUAUCAACAAGCAAUUAACUCUAUCGGCAAUAUCAUCGCAAAUCUUCUCAAUAUUCUUCAUUUUCUUACUACAUGUAAGCAUCCAAACUCAUCUUACAUUCACAGAAAACGAAGUAAAUGGCAGGAAUUAUUUGGUUGCAAACUGUAGAUCAUGUUAUGCAGAUAGUGGAAAAUUGGAACCUGGAAACAUAACUUGCUGGUACAAAAGCUUGUGCUAUGCAUUAUGCAUUUCCACGAUCAAAGUGCAGUUCUGUGUUUGGGGGCUACAUUAUACAACUCAAUGAGUUCUGGAUACUCCUUGUAGCAGUUGACGAACUUCUCCACAAAUUUCUUCUCUGGAUAUUUCAUGUAUGUAGACAUACUAAGGUUACUGAUGCAAACUCCCCUAGACUUCAGGCCUGUCAAAAUCCGAUGCCUUGGCAUCAACCUUUUCUCCAAACUCAUCAACAAAAUAACUGGCCGAAGUGCAAGAUAAGAUGGAGCACAUCUGGCUUCAUUUACCAAGAACUCCAUCUUCCUCUGCAAACUCUUUAAAGAAAAUCGCACAAACGUAGGAGCCUUUCUGAAUGCAGCAAGGAAAUCAUCCUCGGACCACCCGAAGCCCUUGAAGAACUCCAAGUGAGCCUUGAAGUUCUUCUCGGAGACGCUCUGGAGCACACUCAGGAUCAGGAGGAACAUCCCCGAGGUGCGAGGUACUCCCAAACCCUCGACACGACUGAUUAACGCCUUCAGGGUUUCAGCAUUCCGGGUUAUGAGGAGGGGAUAUUGCCGUAGGAUCAUUGAGAGCUUCUGAUCCGUGAUCCCGCAAUCCCUUAGAAUUUCAAUGUUAGGCUGGAUUCUCUUCUCGAUGCUAUACCCGAGAAACCUCCUGUUCUUCUUGCACAAGUUCACCAAAAAGUCGUUGGACCCGAGGAG